UUCGUUAAUCGUUAACGAUAACUUGUCGUGCAAAAAACUUUUUGCCACAGACGAAAUUGUAGCGCGUGGUGGUAAUCAGAUUCGAAUGAUAGGUGGGGAGUAUGGUGCAUUAUGGCGUAAUGAUGGCGCUAAAACUUACCUGCUGCUUACCAAUCAAGGUGAUGUUUAUGGUGGCUGGAAUACAUUAAGACCGUUUGCUAUUGAUAACGCAACCGGCGAACUGGUUAUUGGAACCAAACUGUCCGCAAGUCUGAACGGUAAUGCAUUAACAGCAACAAAGCUGCAAACGCCAAGACUGGUUUCUGGUGUUGAGUUUGAUGGUUCCAAAGAUAUUACUUUAACCGCCGCGCAUGUGGCUGCUUUUGCCAG
rnacentral:rRNA from 1 species